GCCGGGUGUGGUGGCGCGCACCUGUAAUUCCAGCUACUCAGGAGGCUGAGACAGGAGAAUUGCUUGAACCUGGGAGGUGGAGGUUGCAAUGAGCUGAGAUCACGCCAUUGCACUCCAGCCUGGGCAACAGAGCGAGACUCUGUCUCAA
ensembl:misc_RNA Metazoa_SRP Metazoan signal recognition particle RNA